AUUGAACGCUGGCGGCAGGCCUAACACAUGCAAGUCGAGCGGAUGAAGGGAGCUUGCUCCUGGAUUCAGCGGCGGACGGGUGAGUAAUGCCUAGGAAUCUGCCUGGUAGUGGGGGAUAACGUCCGGAAACGGGCGCUAAUACCGCAUACGUCCUGCGGGAGAUAGUGGGGGGUCUUCGGACCUCACGCUAUCAGAUGAGCCUAGGUCGGAUUAGCUAGCUGGUGGGGUAAAGGACUACCUAGGCGGCGAUCCGUAACUGGUCUGAGAGGAUGAUCAGUCACACUGGAACUGAGACACGGUCCAGACUCCUACGGGAGGCAGCAGUGGGGAAUAUUGGACAAUGGGCGAAGACCUGAUCCAGCCAUGCCGCGUGUGUGAAGAAGGUCUUCGGAUUGUAAAGCACUUUAAGUUGGGAGGAAGGGCAGUAAGUUAAUACCUUGCUGUUUUGACGUUACCAACAGAAUAAGCACCGGCUAACUUCGUG
rnacentral:rRNA from 1 species